GACGAACGCUGGCGGCGUGCCUAAUACAUGCAAGUCGAACGCUGAAGGAGGAGCUUGCUUCUCUGGAUGAGUUGCGAACGGGUGAGUAACGCGUAGGUAACCUGCCUCGUAGCGGGGGAUAACUCUUGGAAACGAUAGCUAAUACCGCGUAAGAGUAGAUGUUGCAUGACAUUUGCUUAAAAGGUGCAGUUGCAUCACUACCUGAUGGAGCUGCGUUGCCUUAGCUAGUUGGUGGGGUAACGGCUCACCAAGGCGACGAAUCCUCGCCGGCCUGAGGAGGGGGUCCGCCACACUUGGACCUGGACCCCGCCCAGGCCCCCUCGGGAGGCCGCCAGAGGGGAACUUUGGGCAAUGGCGGAAGGCUUACCGGGGCACGCCGCGGGAGUGAAUAAGGGUCUCGGGUCCGAAAGAUCCGUUGUAUGGGGAGAAAGAGAUGGGGAGUGAAAAGUGCACGCUGUGACGGUACCUAACCAGAAAGCCACGGCUAACUACGUG
rnacentral:rRNA from 1 species